CCUACGGGAGGCAGCAGUGAGGAAUAUUGGUCAAUGGGCGGGAGCCUGAACCAGCCAAGCCGCGUGAGGGAAGAAGGUACAGCGUAUCGUAAACCUCUUUUGUCAGGGAACAAAGGCGGGGACUAGUCCCCGGAUGAGGGUACCUGACGAAAAAGCAUCGGCGAACUCCGUGCCAGCAGCCGCGGUAAUACGGAGGAUGCGAGCGUUAUCCGGAUUUAUUGGGUUAAAGGGGUGCGCGGGCGGCCUGUUAAGUCAGCGGGAAAAGCCCGGGGCUCAACCCCGGCGAGCCGUUGAAACUGGCGGGCUGGAGUUGGAGAGAGGUACGCGGAAUGCGCGGUGUAGCGGUGAAAUGCGUAGAUAUCGCGCAGAACCCCGAUUGCGAAGGCAGCGUACCGGCUCCACACUGACGCUGAGGCACGAAAGCGUGGGUAUCGAACAGGAUUAGAUACCCGUGUAGUC
rnacentral:rRNA from 1 species